rnacentral:sRNA from 1 species
AGAGGACAGUCUCACGGUCCCCAAGCCCAGAGACCACUGGGAGGGGAGCAACUGGGGUCUGGACCACCGACCUUAGCUUCACCUCAAGAACACCUGCCUCGCUGGAGGCAGACUGGAGCUGGCUGUGGACUUUAUUUCUCAGGAGAAGGAGGCGGGAGCUGGACAGAGUGACGCGUGCGUCUUUCCGGCUUUUCCUUGGCCACCUGGAUGGCAUGGGAGCUGGGAGGCAGAGUUCUGCUGAGCUGUAGGACCGAAGGCCACUGGCUCCCCUGCACCUGCGGAGUGAGACGCCCACCUGCUGAGACCCAGCCUCUGCGUGCUUAGGGGUCCCCUGCUACAGGGCAUUGAGGUGAGGUCCACUUUUGCCCAGUGUGAGAGUGCUGCUUUCAGAGCUUUGAGAAGGCUGUUAUCAUUUGUUUCUUUUUGAACUUGCCACCUCCCCACUUAGAGAAUAUUUCUGGGGACAGAGUUUCGUAACUCCUGCCGCAUAGUUGGUGCCUGCUCUCGACUACAUUAAAUCUAUCUUCAGGGCC